rnacentral:rRNA from 1 species
UACAGAGGAUGCAAGCGUUAUCCGGAUUUACUGGGCUUAAAGGGUGUGUAGGCGGACUUUUAAGUCAGGGGUGAAAUCCCGAGGCUCAACCUCGGAACUGCCUUUGAUACUAUUGGUCUUGAAUCUUGUUGAGGUGGGCGGAACGGGUCAUGUAGCGGUGAAAUGCAUAGAUAUGACCCGGAACACCGAUUGCGAAGGCAGCCCGCUAAGCAAGCAUUGACGCUGAGGCACGAAAGCGUGGGGAUCAAACAGG